GACGAACGCUGGCGGCGUGCCUAAUACAUGCAAGUCGAGCGAAGCGGCGGAUGGGUGAGUAACGCGUGGGUACUCUGCUCUUUAGUCUGGCCUACCAUUUGGAAAUAGUUGCUAAUACCGGAUACUAUAGGAUUGACCUGCGGUGCAUUAGCUAGUUGGGCAGGUAACGGCUUACCAAGGCGAUGAUGCAUAGCCGAGUUGAGAGACUGAUCGGCCACAUUGGAACUGAGCCACGGCCCAAACUCCUACGGGAGGCAGCAGUAGGGAAUAUUCCACAAUGGACGAAAGUCUGAUGGAGCAACGCCGCGUGAGUGAAGAAGGUUUUCGGAUCGUAAAGCUCUGUUGUUGGUGAAGCGGUAAUCAACCAGAAAGUCACGGCUAACUACGUGCCAGCAGCCGCGGUAAUUC
rnacentral:rRNA from 1 species